rnacentral:rRNA from 2 species
GGAUGCGAUCAUACCAGCACUAAAGCACCGGAUCCCUUCAGAACUCCGAAGUUAAGCUUGCUUGGGCGAGAGUAGUACUAGGAUGGGCGACCUCCUGGGAAGUCCUCGUGUUGUAUGCC